GGAGGGGUAGCGAAGUGGCUAAACGCGACGGACUGUAAAUCCGUUCCUUCGGGUUCGGCGGUUCGAAUCCGUCCCCCUCCACCA
rnacentral:tRNA from 1 species